rnacentral:rRNA from 1 species
AGGCUUGUAUGAAUGGUUGGACAAAAAGUAAGCUGUCUCAUCUACAGAGUUUGAAUUUAACUUUUAAGUGAAAAGGCUUAAAUGUUCUAGGGGGACGAUAAGACCCUAUAAAGCUUUACAAUAACUGAAAUACAUUAAGAUUUGUUAGUAUAAUUUGGUUUAUUUUGGGUUUGUUUCGUUGGGGCGACGAGAAUAUAAGUUAGAUAACUGUUCUUUAUGUGUGUAUACAAUGUUAAUUGGUUAAAAAUUGAUCCUUUACUAAAGAUUACAAGAUUAAGUUACUUUAGGGAUAACAGCGUAAUCU